rnacentral:tRNA from 1 species
GGCAACAUGCCAGAGUGGUUAAUGGGUAUGCCUCGAAAGCAUAUGUCUUCGGACGCGCAGGUUCGAAUCCUGCUGUUGUCG